GGAUGCAAUUGUGGCCAUAUUGCUUAUCCCUAUUAAAUCCUUGUGUUUAGAUCAAGGUGUAGGAUUUAGGGGUCAAUUUGGAAAUAGAAAUUGAAUGUAGUUCAGUGGCUGACAGCUGUCCUUAAUUAGCCAACAACAUUAGAAGGGUCUGGGAUUCCUUUAAAAGGAGCAACCAAACAUCUGGCAAAUAUAGUAAAAGGGAUAUUCUGGUAGGAUGUAUGCCUACCAUUAGUGCUGAAUACUGGUGAGGUUUUGAGGGCAAAAUGGCUGUGAUGAUUGGAAUCGCUUUCAGGUAUGUUUUUAAGUAUUGAUUUAGUUUGUUUCCCUUGUCCUUCAGGUGUUACAGGUAUCUAUGUUUAUAACAUACAUUCUCUUUCCUCAAGCGUUUCUUGGCUUUGUUGCCUGCUAAUUGGAGGGAUAACGUGUUCUACAUCAGAAGGUGAGUUAAUUUAAAAUAACAGCUACGCAGUUCCAUAACCUUCAAAGGCUGGCAUUUUACAGUUUAUAUUUUUAACCUAGGUGAUUGGUCUCCUGCACUGGAUUCUAAUGCAGCAUGGCUUGACGCAGGAUCACUUCGUUCUCUAGGAUAUGGCAAUUAUAAGUCUCCAAAAUCUCAAAUGCAAGCACAACAGAAACAUCCGGCCGCCAUCCUGCGGAAGGACUUGGCCCCCAUGUCCCAGCAACCUCAGCAAGUGUGGUAUCCAGUUCAAAUGCUGCAGAAGCAACAGACCGCUGUGCUCCAGCAAGUGGGGCAUCAAGCUCAAAUGCUGCCGCAACCACCGACCGCCGUGCCCCAGCAAGUGUGGCAUCAAGCUCACAUGCUGAAGCAUAAGCAACCGACCGCUGUACCCCAGGAAGUGAGGCAUCCAGCUCAAAUGCCCCUGCAGCAGAAGCAACCGACCGCCGUGCCCCUGCAAGUGUGGCAUCCAGCUCAAAUGCCCCUGCAGCAGAAGCAACCGACCGCCGUGCCCCUGCAAGUGUUGCAUCCUGCUCUAAUGCCCCUGCAGCAGAAGCAACCGACCGCCGUGCCCCAGCAAGUGUGGCAUCAAGCUCAAAUGCCCCUGCAGCAGAAGCAACUGGUCCCUUUGCCUCUACUGCAGAAAGAACCAAAAACCAUAGCCCAGCAAGCGUGGCAUCCAGCUCAAAUGCCCCUGCAGCAGAAGCAACCUACCGCCGUGCACCAGCAAGUGUGGAAUCCAUUUCACACACUGCAGAAGCAAGUGUGGCAUCCUGCUCUAAUGCCCCUGCAGCAGGAGCAACCAACCGACGUUACCCUGCAAGUGUGGCAUCCUUCUCAAAUGCCCCAGCAGCAGAAGGAACUGGCCGUCGAGCCCCAGCAGCAGAAGGAACCGACCGCCGUGCCCCAGCAAAUGUGGCAUACAGCUCAAAUGCUGCAGAAGCAACCGACCACCGUGCCGCAGCAAGUGUGGCAUCCAGCUCAAAUGCUGCAGAAGCAACCGACCGCCGUGCCCCAGCAAGUGUGGCAUCCAGCUCAAAUGCCCCUGCUGCAAAAGGAACCGACCGCUGUGCCCCAGCAAGUGUGGCAUCCAGCUCAAAUGCUGCAGAAGCAACCGACCGCCGUGCCCCAGCAAGUGUGGCAUCCAGCUCUAAUGCCCCUGCAGCAGAAGCAACCGGCCACUGAACCUCAACAGAAGGAACUGACCGCCAUGCCCCAGCAAAUGUGGUAUGUAGCUAAAAUGCUCCAACAGGAGAAUCAUCUGGCCGCUAUGCCACAGAAGCUACAGGCCUCCAUUCUCCAGCAGCCAUCUCAAUUUCCCCAGCAGCAGAAGGAACUGGCCGUCGAAUCUCAGCAAGUGAGGUAUCCAGCUCAAAUGUCCCACCAGCAACCCAACCCCAUUCUUCAGGAAUUAUGGCAUGUAGCCCAAAUUCCCCAGCGGCAACUGACCCCAAUGUCUCAGCAGAAGCACUACGAAAGCACUGAAGAUGGUUUCUCUGGUAGUUCUCAAGCCAGCAUUGUUGAACAGUCCGGUUUCAUCCAAAUCUCUUCCUACAGUUCCAAAUCGCACUACAAGAAUGGCAGAACUGUCAUCUCCCAAAUCAGCUACACUCCUAGGGAGGCAAUGCCUGAAUACAGUGGAAAUGCUCCCAAUGAUGGUUUUGUUAGCAUUGGUGCACCAAGCAUAUAUCCAACACUAGUGAAGGAUUCUGCAAGGUAAUGGCUCACUUUAACCUGCUCUGAACUUUGCUCUGAAUUUGAAGUCCUUUGUACUAACCAUAUAUCUAUCAACAGGAAAAUGUAAUGGAUUCAUCCUCUAGAAGCUCUAAUGGUGAGUAUUGUUUUUGACAUUGGUUACUUAACAUUCUGUGUUGCUGACAGUUUGCAUUUCUUUCUGCUUUUUAGACCAGGAAGUUGCUGGUGCUCUUGCUACUCUAGUGUGAUGGAAUCAAUAAACAAUUUGACUUUAAAAAAUGCCUUGUCUCUUUGAAAUGUUUCAUGUCCAUUGCUUGCUAAUUGAACAGGUGGUGUGCAGUCCGUAGUAAAAGUGACUACUGUUCAGUUAAUUCUUUGGUUGUUCAUCUUUUACAUUUGCUACCUGUUCAAAAUAAAAGCUUGUCUACAUAAGAGCAUUUGUGAAGGGGAGAGUUGUCAGACAUUCCUCAUACAGUGCCUUGCGAAAGUAUUCGGCCCCCUUGAACUUUGUGACCUUUUGCCACAUUUCAGGCUUCAAACAUAAAGAUAUAAAACUAUUUUUUUGUGAAGAAUCAACAAGUGGGACACAAUCAUGAAGUGGAAUGACAUUUAUUGGAUAUUUCAAACUUUAACAAAUCAAACUGAAAUUGGGCGUGCAAAAUUAUUCAGCCCCCUUAAGUUAAUACUUUGUAGCGCCACCUUUUGCUGCGAUUACAGCUGUAAGUCGCUUGGGGUAUGUCUCUAUCAGUUUUGCACAUCGAGAGAAUGAAAUUUUCCCAUUCCUCCUUGCAAAACAGCUCGAGCUCAGUGAGGUUGGAUGGAGAGCAUUUGUCAACAGCAGUUUUCAGUUCUUUCCACUGAUUCUCGAUUGGAUUCAGGUCUGGACUUUGACUUGGCCAUUCUAACACCUUGAUAUGUUUAUUUUUGAACCAUUCCAUUGUAGAUUUUGCUUUAUGUUUUGGAUCAUUGUCUUGUUGGAAGACAAAUCUCCGUCCCAGUUUCAGGUCUUUUGCAGACUCCAUCAGGUAUUCUUCCAGAAUGGUCCUGUAUUUGGCUCCAUCCAUCUUCCCAUCAAUUUUAACCAUCUUCCCUGUCCCUGCUGAAGAAAAGCAGGCCCAAACCAUGAUGCUGCCACCACCAUGUUUGACAGUGGGGAUGUGUGUUUAGGGUGAGCUGUGUUGCUUUUACGCCAAACAUAAUGUUUUGCAUUGUUGCCAAAAAGUUCAAUUUUGGUUUCAUCUGACCAGAGCACCUUCUUCCACAUGUGUCUCCCAGGUGGCUUGUGGCCAACUUUAAACAACACUUUUUAUGGAUAUCUUUAAGAAAUGGCUUUCUUCUUGCCACUCUUCCAUAAAGCCCAGAUUUGUGCAAUAUACGACUGACUGAUUGUUGUCCUAUGGACAGAGUCUCCCACCUCAGCUGUAGAUCUCUGCAAUUCAUCCAGAGUGAUCAUGGGCAUCUUGGCUGCAUCUCUGAUCAGUCUUCUCCUUGUAUGAGCUGAACGUUUAGAGGGACGGCCAGGUCUUGCUAGAUUUGCAGUGGUCUGAUACUCCUUCCAUUCGCUUGCACAGUGCUCCUUGAUGUUUAAAGCUUGGGAAAUCUUUUUGUAUCCAAAUCCGGCUUUAAACGUCUUCACAACAGUAUCUCGGACCUGCCUGGUGUGUCCCUUGUUCUUCAUGAUGCUCUCUGCGCUUUUAACGGACCUCAGACUAUCACAGUGCAGGUGCAUUUAUACGGAGACUUGAUUACACACAGGGGGAUUGUAUUUAUCAUUAGUCAUUUAGGUCAACAUUGGAUCAUUCAGAGAUCCUCACUGAACUUCUGGAGAGUUUGCUGCACUGAAAGUAAAGGGGCUGAAUAAUUUUGCACGCCCAAUUUUUCAGUUUUUGAUUUGUUAAAGUUUGAAAUAUCCAAUAAAUGUCGUUCCACUUCAUGAUUGUGUCCCACUUGUUGAUUCUUCACAAAAAAAUACAGUUUUAUAUCUUUAUGUUUGAAGCCUGAAAUGUGGCAAAAGGUCACAAAGUUCAAGGGGGCCGAAUACUUUCGCAAGGCACUGUAUGUAAUGUGUUUGAACAUUUUAAAGAGUAGAGCACUGUUGAAGUGAGCUUAUGGUCUGGCUGUUGUAUAUUAAACAGUGAUUUCCAGGGGGGGGAGAGAAACCACAGAAAUCUACAG
rnacentral:lncRNA from 13 species